rnacentral:rRNA from 1 species
GACGUAGGGCGCAAGCGUUAUCCGGAAUUAUUGGGCGUAAAGAGCUCGUAGGCGGUUUGUCGCGUCUGCCGUGAAAGUCCGGGGCUCAACUCCGGAUCUGCGGUGGGUACGGGCAGACUAGAGUGAUGUAGGGGGAGACUGGAAUUCCUGGUGUAGCGGUGGAAUGCGUAGAGAUCCGGAAGAACACCGGUGGCGAAGGCGGUCUGCUGGGCAGUUGCUGACACUGAGGCGCGACAGCGUGGGGAGCAACAGG